AGAGUUUGAUCCUGGCUCAGAAUCAACGCUGGCGGCGCGCCUAACACAUGCAAGUCGAACGAGAAAGUGGAGCAAUCCAUGAGUAAAGUGGCGUACGGGUGAGUAACACGUGGAUAAUCUGCCCUUUAGUGGGGAAUACCGUUGGGAAACCGACGACAAUACCGCAUAAGCUCGAGAGAGGAAAGCAGCAAUGCGCUGAAGGAGGAGUCCGCGGUCGAUUAGCUAGUUGGUGAGGUAAUGGCUCACCAAGGCUGUGAUCGAUAGCCGGCCUGAGAGGGCACACGGCCACACUGGCACUGAAACACGGGCCAGACUCCUACGGGAGGCAGCAGUGGGGAAUCUUGCACAAUGGGGGAAACCCUGAUGCAGCGACGCCGCGUGAGCGAUGAAGCCCUUCGGGGUGUAAAGCUCUUUCGGCAGGGAAGAUAAUGACGGUACCUGCAGAAGCAGCUGCGGCCAACUACGUGCCAGCAGCCGCGGUAAUACGUAGGCAGCAAGCGUUGUUCGGAGUUACUGGGCGUAAAGGGUGCGUAGGCGGCUCUAUAAGUAUGGUGUGAAAUCUCCCGGCUUAACUGGGAGGGUGCGCUAUAGACUGUGGGGCUAGAGUGUGGGAGAGGAAAGUGGAAUUCCUGGUGUAGCGGUGAAAUGCGUAGAUAUCAGGAGGAACACCGGUGGUGUAAACGGCUUUCUGGACCAUAACUGACGCUGAGGCACGAAAGCGUGGGUAGCAAACAGGAUUAGAUACCCUAGUAGUCC
rnacentral:rRNA from 1 species